rnacentral:rRNA from 1 species
CAUUCGAGUGGCGGACGGGUGAGUAACGCGUGGGUAACCUGCCUUACACAGGGGGAUAACACCUGGAAACAGGUGCUAAUACCGCAUAAGCGCACAGGGCCGCAUGGCCCGGUGUAGAAAAACUCCGGUGGUGUAAGAUGGACCCGCGUCUGAUUAGCUUGUUGGCGGGGUAGGGGCCCACCAAGGCGACGAUCAGUAGCCGGCCUGAGAGGGUGGACGGCCACAUUGGGACUGAGACACGGCCCAAACUCCUACGGGAGGCAGCAG